rnacentral:misc_RNA from 1 species
CAUAAACCAAGAUCAUCUCAUUCUUAUCAUCACAAUAACCAAUUAAGGACACCAGAUGCACAUGCCUUAGCUUUGACAGCAUGUGAAUCUCUGUUUCGAACUCGCGGACUCCUUGCUUUGAUGAAGGAUUCAACCUCUUGACUGCAACUAUGGUUGCACCGUUGUCUAUGUACCCUUUGUACACAUUACCAAAACCUCCAUAACCAAUCACAAAUUUUUCAUCAAAAUUGCCUGUUGCAGUUUUUAUCUCUUCUAGUAAAAAGUGUCGGCACAGAUCGGAUGGUAGUGAUGAUGAGCGUGAGCCGCCUGUCCUUUGGGUUGAGUCCGAUGUAGUUGACAAAGGGAUCCAUGAUGACUUUGUAACGCUUGUAUGAAGAUCUUUUCCCCUUCUCCACCGCCGGAAAAUCAAGAAACAGAGAAUUGAAAACAGAGCAAUUCCGCUAAUAACAGCCACUGCAGUGAUAACAGCAAUGAUGUGUGAUGAUUUCUUUUUCUUAUUGUUGUUUGGUGGUGAAUUAUUCGGAAAGAAAACUUCAGGAUUCGGCACGGAGAGGCUUCCAUUGGGGCCGUUCAACUUGAAAAUUUCUAAUCCAUUUAAGAUAGCAUUUUGAUAUGCAGAAUCUGGGUUAGGACUCAACUUAAGCGUCAGGUUUUGCGCACCAUCUAGGUUUCUAACCACAUAGUCUUUGUACACAGGGAUUCUCCAGCCUUCACUCCAUUGUAUUACAUCAGCCUCUCGCUGGGCUGUUUGGUUUCCGAUAGAAAUGGAGAAACUUCUAUCGUUUAUUUCUUUAACUUCCGGCUGAAUCUCACAAAAAUGGAGCCUGAAAAGAUAUGAGAAACCAGAGUUUAGAGGGAAUUCCCAAUACAGUCCCGAGCUGUAAUUGUCCAUAAUCCUCGAGGUUGUGUAAACUAUGGUUGGCGCAGUAUAAUUCGGGGUUUCAGAAGUGUAAGUGAUGUUGGCAUCAGGAAAAUGAGGAGUUUGAUAGCCUAAUCCAACAACAAAUGCAUUAUCUGAAUCCCAUACACGAUACAUCCCUGUAUCCUCUGUGCUUUCAACUAAAUUGCCUCCCACGUUCAGCCUGUACAAUGUUUCAAGAGCAGUGCUAUUAUUGAUGUUAUAUGUAUUAGUACUCCCAGUCAAUUUGACGUCUCCAUGGAUGUAAAGAUCAGUUGGCAUAGAAAGUAUCUCAAUCCCAUUAACAAAAGCAUAAGAGUUUGGUGAAGGAGAAAAGGUUAAUUUGAGCAUCUGUGUUUCAUCAACAUUGAUGACAUAUUCUUUUUGAACAGCUUUAGUACUACUUGCAGAGACUGUGAAGAAAGCACUGAAGUUACUCAAGAGGGUUAAAUUAUUAGCUGUGACGGAGAAAAAAGAAUCAGCUUUGUUAAAACCGGAGUAAUUGGCAGGGUAGAAAUAGAGACGGAGGAAUAUUGUGCCAGGGGUAACACGGAAAGUAUAGGUGAAUUGAGAUCUCAUAAUACGAAUACCAGUCGUAUAAGGAAUUCUAUUGACAGAAGGAUCUUGUUCAAGAGCUGUGGCUGUUGUGGAUAUGCUUGAAAAGUCGGAAGGUAAGAAAUUUGGAAAGUGAGUAUCAGUAUCCCAUCGACGGCCAGUAUCAUCGGUGAUGGCUGAUUGUGCGCCACAGUUAAGCAAGACGAAGACUGUGGCGUUAUACGGUGGCGACGUGGUAGCAAUAGUGGCGGUUAUGAGUUGUAAGAAGAGAAAGAAAAGUAAAGUGAUGGUUGCCAUGGGGAGUUGGUGUAAGGAGAUAUUAGCUGUUCCAAG